rnacentral:rRNA from 1 species
AGCUUUGGGAAUUUAUCCAAGGUUAGACCUGCCCAAUGUUUAUUCGUAUAUCAAUGGCCGCGGUACUUUGACCGUGCUAAGGUAGCGCAAUCAGUUGGCUUUUAAUUGGAGUCAGGUAUGAAUGGAGUCACGUGGUUUAGCUGUCUCUUAAUUAUUUUAUUGAAAUUACUUUUUAGGUGAAAAAGCCUAAUUUUAGAAGAAGGACGAGAAGACCCUUAGAGUUUUGCUAAAUUUAGAUACGAUAGACCAUUUAUCUGAGCAGUUUGGUUGGGGCAACUUUGGGGCAUUGUCAAACCCCCUUAAACUCAUAGGCCGAUUUUUAUAUGAAUGGAUAAACUACCUUAGGGAUAACAGCAUAAUUUAUUAGUUAAGUUUGUGACCUCGAUGUUGGACUAGGAAACCAGCAGGUUAGCCGCCUUCUGGGUAGGUUCUGUUCGAACCUUUAUUCCU